GUCUCAAAGACUAAGCCAUGCAUGUCUAAGUAUAAACGCUUCUAUACUGUGAAACUGCGAAUGGCUCAUUAAAUCAGUUAUAGUUUAUUUGAUGGUUCCUACUACAUGGAUAACCGUGGUAAUUCUAGAGCUAAUACAUGCAGAAAGUCCCGACUUCUGGAAGGGAUGUAUUUAUUAGAUCCAAAACCGGCGCGGGUCCUUCUGGGCCCGGUUGCUUGGUGAUUCAUGAUAACUGCUCGAACCGUAUGGCCUUAGCGCCGACGGUGCUUCAUUCAAAUUUCUGCCCUAUCAACUUUCGAUGGUACGGUAGUGGCCUACCAUGGUUGCAACGGGUGACGGAGAAUUAGGGUUCGAUUCCGGAGAGGGAGCCUGAGAAACGGCUACCACAUCCAAGGAAGGCAGCAGGCGCGCAAAUUACCCAAUCCCGACUCGGGGAGGUAGUGACAAUAAAUAACAAUGCCGGGCUUUCUUAGUCUGGCAAUUGGAAUGAGUACAAUCUAAACCCCUUAACGAGGAACAAUUGGAGGGCAAGUCUGGUGCCAGCAGCCGCGGUAAUUCCAGCUCCAAUAGCGUAUAUUAAAGUUGUUGCAGUUAAAAAGCUCGUAGUUGGAUUUCGGGGCAGCCUGGCUGGUCCGCCGCAAGGCGAGUACUGGUCAGCCGCCCUUCCUCUCGAAAGCCCCGACUGCUCUUUAUUGUAGUGGUCGGGUAGUUCGGGACGUUUACUUUGAAAAAAUUAGAGUGUUCAAGGCAGGCCUACGCCUGAAUACAUUAGCAUGGAAUAAUGGAAGAGGACCUCGGUCCUAUUUUGUUGGUUUCUAGGGCCGAAGUAAUGAUUAAGAGGGACAGUUGGGGGCAUUCGUAUUUAAUUGUCAGAGGUGAAAUUCUCGGAUUUAUGAAAGACGAACAACUGCGAAAGCAUUUGCCAAGGAUGUUUUCAUUAAUCAAGAACGAAAGUUAGGGGUUCGAAGACGAUCAGAUACCGUCGUAGUCCUAACCAUAAACUAUGCCGACUAGGGAUCGGUGGAUGUUAGCGUUUGACUCCAUCGGC
rnacentral:rRNA from 1 species